CAUUUUCCCAGUAAACAGAAUGGACAUCGCUCCUCAUCCUCUCACUGGGCACCACCAAGAACAGUCUGACACCGUUCUCUUGAUAUCCACAUUUGAGAUAUGUUGGCCUCCCAACCCCCUGCAGAGCAACAGGUGUUGUCAUUUGGAGAUGUGAUGGCUUAGGAUCGAACAGAAAAGUCAGCUUAGAAAUGAGGUUUUGGGUCAUUGCACAGGAUAGAUAUGAUGAUAUGUGUGGUCAGGCAAAUGUAAGAGCUGGACAGCCAUAUUAUCAUAAAGAAAGGCAUUGCUUCCACAGCAGCAGUGAGUACAGCUGAACUUCCCAAUGUUUCCAACUCUUCCACAAUUAUUUUGUAUGGUUGUUUUGUAUCACAAAAAAGAAGUGAGAGAACUACCAAUAAAAAAUAACUCUUAAUGUGUUUAUUUCUUACAUGAAGACGACAAGGUACUCUACUUUGAGUAUUGGUGGUAAGCAUCUUUACAGUGUGUUUUGUUGUAUUGUCCGUAGUUGACAGCCAUGGAUAAAAGCUUGAUCUUUAUCAAAAAGAAAAGCUACUAGCUAAUUACUCUCUCAAUCUGCAAUCAUAAAGCUGAUAUUUUCAGAUUUACUCAGAAAUUUCUGUACAGUUUUGAAUGAAAGUAUUAGUGUCUACUUCUCAGGUUUUUAACUUUUUUCUGUUAAGGAAAAAUAGCGAGUAAGAGAAAUUGAUUUGUUAAUCAGUUCAUCAUGAUAAAGUUUAUCAUCAUUUAUCAAAUAAUUUAUAUUUAAUCUGAAAACCUAUAUUACUCUAGGGAAAUAGCAUUUCAAAAGUUGCAAGGUUGCUUUUCAGGCAUUCAGCUCAGAUGAGAGCUGAGAACAUCCUGAUGUGAGAUUUUUCUUGAGUGUCUUCUGUGUAAAUGAUUGUAUUUACUGUACUAUAGAAAAAAUUAUUAUAUUACAGACUAUUUUAUAUCCUUCUUUGCCUGGAAGAAACAUAAUUUAUAGUAAAAAUUACAAAAAUAUCUCAGAAGCUUUUUAACAAGAGCUAUUCCUCUUGUAUCACAUCAGAUAUGUUUUCCUUUGUGAAUUGUUAUAGCAGGUGAUAUUUUCUUCUUUGGAUUUGUGUCUGAUGUCAUACUGUAAAGGAAAGCAAACUACAAAAGGCAUCUAUGCAUGUGUUAAAAAACCCCAAAAUUACAAACAAGAAAACCAGCAAACAACAAACACCCCACUAAGAAAGAACCACAAACAAACAAAAAAAACUAAAAAGAAGAAAAAAAACAAAACCAAAAAAAUCAAAGAAAGAAAGAUAGAAAUUAACCAAAACCUAGAAUUAUACAGGAAAAAAAGUGUACCUAUUUCAAGGUGCUUUGCACAAUCAAAAUCAUUUAAUCAAUCAAAAUCAGGUUUCAAUAUAAAACAUGAAUUAAGGAAAUGUACUUUAUUUAGCAGUCUAACUCAAGUAUUUUAGUUUCUUAUACUGAGGAACAAUUGACAGUGUAAUUGAAAAUUACAAUUAAAAGUAAUUGACAGUGGAGACAAAAAUGUCCUUUGGUAUAAAGAGUUAUUUAGUAUAUGAAACCUAAAGCACAUUGACUUAACCAUUAAAAUGCUGGUUUUAUAUAUAGUAUCACUGAAUAAGCAGCAUAUUCUUAUUGCCAGAAUAUCAGUACCAGAGAGUCUUCCAAAAUAUCCUUCAUAAUGUAGGGUAGAAGUAUGUCAAUACAUUUGAUGCAUUCUUUUGACAAGAAAAUGUUUCUUAGCUUGAAAGUUUGGGAAUUGCUGUUGACCAUAUAGUCUACUUGUUUAAAGUGAGGCUAAGAAGAGUCUGUCUAGAGUAAAACAUUUCCAUCUCCCUCAAACCAAAAGAAAAUGUCCUUUAUCGGGAAGCUAAUGUAAUACUGAAAAACAAGUAUAUUAUUUACAUUCUAAUUCUUAAAAUACCU